rnacentral:lncRNA from 1 species
CUGCACCACCGGCUUUCCACAAGCCUCUCUCUCCCACCCAAGCUUCUCUCCACCUCCCACAAUCCUCCUGCUCUUGAGGCCGAUUGGGUGGGUCACGUGGGCGGAGCCAAAAAAGUCCCCCAAUGAGCAGCUCCGUGGUCUGAAAGGGCAGGGAAGCAGCCCAAUGAGCAUCACCGCAGAGGAGCCAAUCAGCUAGAUGUUGCUGGGGCCGAGGAGCCAAUCAGCUAGAUGUUGCUGGGGCCGCUGUGAGCCAAUCAUCAGCCGGCAGCUGGAAGUUUGCUGGCAGCUGGAAGUUUGCUGGGGCCCCUUCGGCUGUGGCUCUCAACAGGAAUGGCUCUUCAAUGUGUCCAGAGUUACCUGUGUGUCCAGAGUUCCCAGAGUUGCCUUGUCCUGAGUUGCCUGAGUUGCUGGGGCCAGGAUGAAUAUCCUGAGAACCUUCCAUGCAGAUGCAACCUGGGAGAUAGAAAAAGCCCCAAGCAAAAAGAAGGUCCUGAAGGUCCACAGGGAAUGACUUCCCUGAGGGAAAGCAUAAGCCAAAGCCAAAAAGAGGGUCAGGAGAGACCCCAAGGGAAAGACCCCAUGUGGGAGAGCAUUAGCCUUUGCCUGGUGUUUUUAAUUAAAAAACAAGAAUGUCCUUGGGAUUUUAAUAGGAAUUGCAUUAAAUCUUUGUAAAAGUUUUGGUAGUAUGGCCAUUUUUGGCUAUAUUAUUUCUGC